rnacentral:rRNA from 1 species
UACCGGCGCCUCAAGUGGUAGUCGCUUUUAUUGGGCCUAGAGCAUCUGUAGCCGGCUUUGUUAGUUUUCGGUUAAAUCCAUGUGCUCAACGCAUGGGCUGUCGAAAAUACUGCACAGCUAGGGAGUGGGAGAGGUAGACGGUACUCAGUAGGAAGGGGUAAAAUCCUUUGAUCUAUUGAUGACCACCUGUGGCGAAGGCGGUCUACCAGAACACGUUCGACGGUGAGGAAUGAAAGCUGGGGGAGCAAACCGG